GUCUAUUCAUUCCACUCAUUCCUUAACGUCCAAAGCUCAGAAUUCAUAAAGUUAAUAGGUGGGUAGGUGUUCUUAGGUUCGUAACAUGGCUUUCUUUCUCGGAAGCCUUGUUGAAUUAAUGGCAAGGGAGAUAUUAGCUUAAUGGCUUGGGGUAAGAUGCUAUGCUUGAGUCAGCGGAAAUCAUUUAUAACGAAGAAAAUAAACCAUAGGCCUCUCCUGUAGCCGGGUAUGAGAGGUCUAGUUCGGCGAGAAUAUAUAGGGAUAGAAAGGCC
rnacentral:lncRNA from 1 species